GCGGCAUGAGAUUGAGCAACACAGAAGAUCUUUGCCCAUCGCUUCAGUUGAGAAAAGGCUUGUAGAAGAGGUUUGGAAAAAUGAUACCUUGAUAAUUGUCGGUGAAACUUGAAGUGGGAAGACAACACAAUUGCCCCAUUAUUUGUAUAACGGAGGAUUUUGUCAGAAUGGAGGAAUAAUUGGAAUCACUCAACCAAGACGUGUUGCUGCAGUAACUAUUGCAAAACGUGUAGCUGAAGAACAU